rnacentral:lncRNA from 1 species
AGGGUGAGCCCAAGCUGUUUUGAAAACCCAAUGCGGGUUUCUCAUAGGAAAACCAACUUGAGAGUAUUGCUGAAAAGACCCCAGAGCUGAUGACCUCGGUCGAGAGCAGUCACAGAGCCCUUAAUACAGAUCACACACUGUACUGACUACUUCCUGGACAGCAUGUCAUUUCAUCGUCACAGCUCCCAUGAGACAGAUGGCAUCACGUUCUCCUCUAUGCAGGUAGAAAGCUCAGACUCUGAAAACUGAAUAAUUUGCCCAAUGUCAUGGAGGUGGCUCUCAAACCCAAAGUUCUUCCCAAAGAGUGAGGGAGGAAGAAGCCCAGGAUAUAGACUGCUGUUUGCCCUGACACGUGGAGAGAUAAGGUAAGGGUCUGCUGUACAAGCAGACAAUUAUCUGUGCCAGGAGGAGGAAGACCUCUGGAAGCUAGCACAUGUACUGACUAGGAAACCUGAGGUUCUGGAAGACGGAGGCAGACAGCUCCCAUGUAAAUGAAGAAGGCUUUCAGUCGGGUGCAGACCUGAGUACUGGUGGGAAAGGGUGACUCUGGCAAGCAGGCGGGAGGCUGGGGCCAGGGGUCAAUCAGCCAGCUCUGUGUGGUUCCCAAAUGAAAACAAAGGCUCCUUUUGACUGGGCACAUCCAGACUGCUCACACCCUCUCUUCCGGCUCGAUAUGUGUCAGAGGUGACAUGGCCGCAGCUUUGCCCCCAAGAAUGUGCAGCACGAAUUCUCCUGAUCACACACCUGGGUGGGCUUCCUAGUCACUGUUCCCUGACUUCCUAGGAGUGAGGAAAGAAAGUUCUGAGCCAAUUUUCCCAGAGAUCCCCUUGAUUUAGAAAGGGCCAACAACACCCACUGAAGUGGCUCCCCACUGAGGUGCACUCCCACCUCUGGGCCUUCCUAGAAGAUACCACAAAUGACACUGGGCUCACAGAGGAAGACCUUGUCCUCAAGCCCUGAUAAGGUUGAAAGAAGGUUCUGCGAAAGGACAACCACGGGAUCCCUGAUGCCAACUGGGUUUCACAUUCCAGACCAAGGCAGAAAGGCCUGGAGUUUUUGAAUCAGAUGUUUCUGUCUGGGGGGGGGGGUGGUCGUUAGGGGGCAGGGGGUGGGGGGAGCUUUAUCUUCCUCUGAGCAGAACCCGACACUCAUCUAUCUUCCUUCACUGCAGCCUGAAGCACUUCCUGAAUCUCCUGGGUGGCCAGUUAACAAUUAACUGGGUAUUAGUGACAGACAAGCAGGGGAAUGGGGGGCAUGAGUCACUGUCCCUACCUGAAUGUGUCAAGGCCGAGUCAUGCUGUGGGUCAGUCAAUAGGCACUUGGCAAUGUGGAACUUGCCUGAAGUUUUCUGAUAAACUCCUGAAUCUCUCCCUGGUAACCAGGGAGCUUAUGGCUCACAGGAAAAUUAUGAAAAAGCAUCUCUGUUCCCUGCAUCUAUGAGAUAGAGACGAAUAGAAAUGUCCACAGAUAUGAAAAGGUCUCAAGUCAUCCUUUUACAUUGCUGAGAGACUGGUUGUGGGUGAAGAGUUUCCCACAUAGCUACUUGUUGGAUGUGGUAUCUCAGUUUGAACCUACUCGUGUUUUUCAGCCUGGAGAUCCAUCAUUUAAGUAAAAUGCUGCUCAGAGUGGGUCCUGUAUAUCCAAAUUCAUAGUGAGCAAAGGUUGAAGCAACCCAAGAGCCUACCAACAGAUAGACAAUAAAAUGUAGCACAUACAAACAAUAGAAUCUUAUUCAGCCCCCAAAAGGAUGGAACAUCUGGCACAUUAUACAACACCACUCAUCUGGAAAAUACAAGGCUAAGUGAGAAAAGCCAGACAGAGGGAAACACCAUGUGCUUCUCCUCAUUUGAAGCACGUCAUCAAAUUCAGAAACAGAACGGAUAGUGUGAUGGCUGUUAGACACUAGAAGGGACAGAGGACCAGGAUUCAGGGGUUACAGAGUUCCAGAAGGUUCCAGUGUUCUGGAGAGAGACGGUGGUAACCGGUGCACAGAAUUGAGUACAUACUGAAUGCCACUGAACUGCAAACUAACCAAUCCUAACGGCAAACUUUAUGUCUAUCUUACUGCAAUAGAAGGGCUUUGAAAAUGUAAUGUUAUAACUGGACAGAAGCAUUUCCAAAGCCAAUUAUUGACUGAAUUUCCCACUAUGAUGGGACAAGUUGGUGACAAGAAGUCUAGGAAGUUAGAAGAGCAGUCAAGACUCAAGAAUGUAAGAAGAAUUUUGAGGUCUCCGGCUGCAGUUCUUCACCUUGUCGCCUCCUGCUCCUCCUUCACAAGAACACGUGCAGAUCUGCAGGUGGUACCAUCAGAGGAGGAGUCAACCCAGGAAGUGUGAUCACAGCAGAGGGAUAUCGCCACUUAUAUUUCCUCCUCUAGUCCUCUCCAUCCAGGAGGCUGACGGACCAGUGGUACCUUGACACCCACUGGAGAGGCUCUCAGACACAAAGGAAGGGCAUGCAGAAAGGUCUGCCAGAAUCCACAAGCGCAAGGAGUAUGAAUGCCCCUGGAUCUGUGACAUCUGCUGAGUGGCUGGGCUCAGAGGUCAGAGGUCACAGAGAUAUCUGGAAAGAGGCACCACUUCCUGCACUGAGGAAGUGUUGCCCAUCCACAGAGAUAGAGAUCCCUACCUUUCAGGGUUUCCUGGAGGGUUAGUGCAAAGUUCAAUAAUCGGUGGCCAUCACUGUGAUUCUUGCUUGAAUUCUCAGCUCCUGGGAGGGCCAGGGCUGUCAGCUGGAGGUUAACCAGGGUUAAGUCAUUACUUCCCACCUGGGUAGCAGGAAAUAAAGCAACAAGUAAAACCUU